UGUACCACAGCAGACUGUAGGUGACGGAGCCCAGGAGCUUCUCCGCUCUGCGCGCCACCUCGUCUCCAUCCAGCGGCGGCUGGUUGCACACUCUGUCCAUGUGGUUGACCAGGAUCUCCGAUCCGUAGGCGAAGUCCUUGACGGAGUCCACCCUGACGCUGGCCACCUUGGCCACCACCCCCAGCAGCAGACGGAUGUUGGUGACCAUCUUGGAAAUGGCGGACUGGUUCUUGGUGAUGACCGGCAGGAAGUCCGGGAUCAGGUGAGCCACCCGGUCGUCGCCCAGGUAGAUGCCGAAGUGCGUGAACAAGGUGCGCGGCACCUCCAGCAGGUCGCCCCGCUGGAUGAGCGGCGGCUCAAACUUGGAUCGCUCCUCUGUCUGGGGAGCCCUGAAGAAGAAGUUCAGCAGCUGCAGGAGGAACAUGGUGGCAGUUGGAGGAACGCGCCGGGCGUCAAGAGUUUUAUUCGGCCGCGCGGCGGGGGCGGGGCCAAGGCUCGAGGUGGGAUCGAAGUUAUUGGUCAACAUCUCGAGCCGAUUUUGACACAAAGAAAGGAGCUUUUCUGAGGAUUGAGGUCGACCGUUGCCUCUCCCCCAGUCACGCCUCACUGCCUGUCGUCCUCAUCCACUGUUUCUCCUCAAUAUGUCCAUCUCUACAGUGAGAUAUCGGACUCUACGAUGCAGUGCAGCACUCGUUCUUCUCGACUCGGACGUGAUGCACCUCAACCCAUUUUCGACUGGUCAGCUCUUCUUCUGGAGGACUAAAUAGAUGGCUGCCAGUUUCUGGAGGGGGUCACCACCUUCUUAAGACCAGCAAAAAGAAGAAGCAGAAUGGAUGCAGGCCGACCUUCAGCCCAGAACCAUCAUCACCUCCAGGGUCAUGAGCUCAUGCAGCACCCAGAGGCUUAGCUGGUGACCAGUUAUGCUCGAGUUCCCGAGGACUUAUUUACGUAUAAAACACAAAGUUAUAUUUAUCUGUUUGGCUGUAUUUGUUUUCUUUUGAAUGUA